UUGCUACUGAUCUUAGCGGCGGACGGGUGAGUAAUGCUUAGGAAUCUGCCUAUUAGUGGGGGACAACAUUUCGAAAGGAAUGCUAAUACCGCAUACGUCCUACGGGAGAAAGCAGGGGAUCUUCGGACCUUGCGCUAAUAGAUGAGCCUAAGUCGGAUUAGCUAGUUGGUGGGGUAAAGGCCUACCAAGGCGACGAUCUGUAGCGGGUCUGAGAGGAUGAUCCGCCACACUGGGACUGAGACACGGCCCAGACUCCUACGGGAGGCAGCAGUGGGGAAUAUUGGACAAUGGGCGCAAGCCUGAUCCAGCCAUGCCGCGUGUGUGAAGAAGGCCUUAUGGUUGUAAAGCACUUUAAGCGAGGAGGAGGCUACUUUAGUUAAUACCUAGAGAUAGUGGACGUUACUCGCAGAAUAAGCACCGGCUAACUCUGUGCCAGCAGCCGCGGUAAUACAGAGGGUGCAAGCGUUAAUCGGAUUUACUGGGCGUAAAGCGCGCGUAGGCGGCUAAUUAAGUCAAAUGUGAAAUCCCCGAGCUUAACUUGGGAAUUGCAUUCGAUACUGGUUAGCUAGAGUGUGGGAGAGGAUGGUAGAAUUCCAGGUGUAGCGGUGAAAUGCGUAGAGAUCUGGAGGAAUACCGAUGGCGAAGGCAGCCAUCUGGCCUAACACUGACGCUGAGGUGCGAAAGCAUGGGGAGCAAACAGGAUUAGAUACCCUG
rnacentral:rRNA from 1 species